rnacentral:rRNA from 1 species
GGUAAUACGGAGGGYGCAAGCGUUAUCCGGAUUCACUGGGUUUAAAGGGUGCGUAGGCGGGUAGGUAAGUCAGUGGUGAAAUCCUGGAGCUCAACUUCAGAACUGCCAUUGAUACUAUUUAUCUUGAAUAUUGUGGAGGUAAGCGGAAUAUGUCAUGUAGCGGUGAAAUGCUUAGAUAUGACAUAGAACACCUAUUGCGAAGGCAGCUUACUACGCAUAUAUUGACGCUGAGGCACGAAAGCGUGGGGAUCAAACAGGAUUAGAUACCCUGGUAGUCCACGCCCUAAACUAUGAUUACUCGACAUUUGUGAUACACAAUAAGUGUCUGAGCGAAAGCAUUAAGUAAUCCACCUGGGAAGUACGUCCGCAAGGAUGAAACUCA